GAGAAGAUGGAGGAUGAAGAACAGGUGGAAUUCAGGGAUGAAGAAAAAAGAACAAUACGAUGGAGGAUGAAGAACGGGUCGGCUUUAGGGUUUUCAAUUACAAAAUAAAACAUAUUGUAAAUUUUUAUCUAACUAAUUUUAAAUGACAAUUAAAACUUGUUUUUAUUUGUAAAUUAUUCUAAAUAAUUGUUAAGUUUAUGAGGGACUUGUGUGCAAUAAUUAAAGUUUUCAGUAAAAAGUCUUAUCAUGUACCUUCAUUACAAUGUAGAGCUGAUGUGGCAUCACUUAAAAUUCUAUUGGGCAAUUCAAUUGACCUC
rnacentral:lncRNA from 1 species